UACGUAGGGGGCAAGCGUUGUCCGGAAUCAUUGGGCGUAAAGAGCGUGUAGGCGGUCCGGUAAGUCGGCUGUGAAAGUCCAGGGCUCAACCCUGGGAUGCCGGUCGAUACUGCCGGACUAGAGUUCGGAAGAGGCGAGUGGAAUUCCCGGUGUAGCGGUGAGAUGCGCAGAUAUCGGGAGGAACACCUAUGGCGAAGGCAGCUCGCUGGGACGUUACUGACGCUGAGACGCGAAAGCGUGGGGAGCAAACAGG
rnacentral:rRNA from 1 species